rnacentral:rRNA from 1 species
GAUUAACGCUAGCGGCAGGCAUAAUACAUGCAAGUUGAACGGCGGCACAGGUAGCAAUACUGGGUGGCGAGUGGCGCACGGGUGCGUAACACGUAUGCAACCUACCCUAUACAGGCGAAUAACCUUUAGAAAUGAGGGCUAAUACGCCGUAGUAUUACAGAUGGGCAUCUAUUUGUAAUUAAAGAUUUAUCGGUAUAGGAUGGGCAUGCGUCCCAUUAGUUAGUUGGUAAGGUAACGGCUUACCAAGACGAUGAUGGGUAGGGGAUCUGAGAGGACUUACCCCCACACUGGUACUGAGACACGGACCAGACUCCUACGGGAGGCAGCAGUAAGGAAUAUUGGGCAAUGGCCGCGAGGCUGACCCAGCCAUGCCGCGUGCAGGAAGACGGCCUUAUGGGUUGUAAACUGCUUUUAUACGGGAAUAAUAGAGUGUACGCGUACAUUUAUGCAAGUAUCGUAUGAAUAAGCAUCGGCUAACUCCGU